rnacentral:rRNA from 1 species
UAGUCCUAGCCGUAAACGAUGUCAACUAGGUGUUGGGGGUAACCAAUCCCUCAGUACUGCAGCUAACGCGAUAAGUUGACCGCCUGGGGACUACGGCCGCAAGGCUAAAACUCAAAGGAAUUGACGGGUUCCCGCACAAGCAACGGAGCGUGUGGUUUAAUUCGAGGCUACGCGAAGAACCUUACCCGGGUUUGACAUAUACGUGGUACUGACCGGAAACGGAAGGGACCCUUCGGGGAGCGUAUACAGGUGCUGCAUGGCUGUCGUCAGCUCGUGCCGUGAGGUGUCAGGUUAAGUCCUGUAACGAGCGCAACCCACAUUGCUAGUUAUACGUGUCUAGCGAGACUGCCCGUGAUAAGCGGGAGGAAGGUGUGGAUGACGUCAAGUCAGCAUGGCCUUUAUAUCCGGGGCUACACACACGCUACAAUGGACGGUACAAUGGGCAGCGAAGCCGCGAGGUGAAGCCAAUCCCCCAAAGCCGUUCUCAGUUCGGAUUGUAGGCUGCAACUCGCCUGCA